UACGGGGGGGGCAAGCGUUGUUCGGAAUUACUGGGCGUAAAGGGCUCGUAGGCGGCCAACUAAGUCAAACGUGAAAUCCCUCGGCUUAACCGGGGAACUGCGUCUGAUACUGGAUGGCUUGAGUUUGGGAGAGGGAUGCGGAAUUCCCGGUGUAGUGGUGGAAUGCGUAGAUAUCGGGAGGAACACCAGUGGCGAAGGCGGUUGCCUGGAGCUUUGCUGACGCUGAUGCGCGAAAGCGUGGGGAGCGAUCCGG
rnacentral:rRNA from 1 species